AUUCACUGCUGGGGGUGUCCGCGCCGAUUCGCGGGCGGCGACCGCGAGAUCCGCGGCGCACGCCGGGGCCGGAACGGGCUGAGAAGAGACCCUUCGAACCUGACCCGGAUCAUGCCGGCGCAGGAAAGCAGGCAAUGGAGCCG
rnacentral:ncRNA from 2 species